rnacentral:rRNA from 1 species
GCCAAUCGUACAAGACUUCAACGUCUUUUCAUGGUCGAAGAGACGGCCAGACAGAUGACAUGGCACAAAAUAGGCAAAAGAACCGAACUAGAUGCAGAUGGGAAUCUGAUGAUGGUACACACAUCGGAUGGUGUUGCAUGGAAAAAGUUUGAUGAAUUACAUGCUGACAAAGCGGCAGAUCCUCGGCAUCCUCGAGUCGGCAUCAGCACGGAUGGGUUCAGUGUGUUUGGUAUGACGGCAACCCAAUACAGUUAUUGGCCCGUAUUUGUCUUUCCACUGAAUCUCCCCCCCGGACAGAUUAUGCAAAGAAAGAACAUUUUCCUGACGUUGAUAAUUCCAGGGCCCAACUAUCCGGGGAAAAAUAUGAAUGUGUACAUGCAGCCG